rnacentral:rRNA from 1 species
UCAAUAAGCGGAGGAAAAGAAACCAACAGGGAUUGCCUUAGUAACUGCGAGUGAAGCGGCAAGAGCUCAAAUUUGAAAUCUGGCGCCUUUGGCGUCCGAGUUGUAAUUUGGAGAGGCAUCUUCGGGUGCGGCGCCGGCCUAAGUUCCUUGGAACAGGACGUCAUAGAGGGUGAGAAUCCCGUUCUCGGCUGGCUGUCCGCGUCCAUGUGAAGUGUCUUCGACGAGUCGAGUUGUUUGGGAAUGCAGCUCAAAAUGGGUGGUAAACUCCAUCUAAAGCUAAAUACUGGCGAGAGACCGAUAGCGCACAAGUAGAGUGAUCGAAAGAUGAAAAGCACUUUGAAAAGAGAGUUAAAAAGUACGUGAAAUUGUUGAAAGGGAAGCGCUUGAGACCAGACUCGGCGGGAGGUAUUCAUCGUCCCUUCUGGGGCGUGCACUUGCCUCUCGUCGGGCCAGCAUCGGUUGCGGCGGCGGGAUAAAGACCCGGGGAACGUGGCUGCUCUCGGGCAGUGUUAUAGCCCCGGGUGUCAUGCCGCCUGCUGCGACCGAGGACCGCGCUCGGC